CCUACGGGAGGCAGCAGUGGGGAAUAUUGCACAAUGGGGGAAACCCUGAUGCAGCGACGCCGCGUGAGUGAAGAAGUAUUUCGGUAUGUAAAGCUCUGUCAGCAGGGAAGAAAAUGACGGUACCUGACCAAGAAGCCCCGGCUAACUACGUGCCAGCAGCCGCGGUAAUACGUAGGGGGCAAGCGUUAUCCGGAUUUACUGGGUGUAAAGGGAGCGUAGACGGCAGGGCAAGUCUGGAGUGAAAGGCGGGGGCUCAACCCCCGGGCUGCUCUGGAAACUGCGCGGCUGGAGUGCAGGAGAGGUAAGGGGAAUUCCUAGGGUAGCGGUGAAAUGCGUAGAUAUUAGGGGGAACAACAGUGGCGAAGGCGGCUUACUGGACUGUAACUGACGUUGAGGCUCGAAAGCGUGGGGAGCAAACAGGAUUAGGUACCCGAGUAGUC
rnacentral:rRNA from 1 species